GACGAACGCUGGCGGCGUGCUUAACACAUGCAAGUCGAACGGAAAGGCCUGCUUUCCCUUGUGGAUUGCGGGUACUCGAGUGGCGAACGGGUGAGUAACACGUGAGUGAUCUGCCCCCAACUUGGGUAUAAGCCUGGGAAACUGGGUCUAAUUCCCGAUAGGACUGCAGGGUGGUGCCUGUGGUGGAAAACGAUUUUCUAGUGGUUGGGGAUGAGCUCGCGGCCUAUCAGCUUGUUGGUGGGGUAAUGGCCUACCAAGGCGGCGACGGGUAGCCGGCCUGAGAGGGUGGACGGCCACAUUGGGACUGGGAUACGGCCCAGACUCCUACGGGAGGCAGCAGUGGGGAAUAUUGCACAAUAGGCGGAAGCCUGAUGCAGCGACGCAGCGUGGGGGAUGACGGCCUUCGGGUUGUAAACUCCUUUCGACCGCGAGGAAGCCACCUGGUUGGAAGGGUGGUGACGGUAGUGGUAGAAGAAGCACCGGCUAACUACGUG
rnacentral:rRNA from 1 species